UAAAUAAUUUAGAAAAUAAAUAAAUACUUUUUAAAUAAAUAAAUACACUAACAGAUAUUUAAUUUCAAAAGUGCAAAGUCAGAACAUGCUCUAGCCUACAUUUCUUCCUCCUAAACGGGGCCUUUUAUAAGAAGAAAAACAGCAGCAGCAUGUGUUUUGACUGUGAUGCUUUCCUGUGAAAUACAGACAGUUGUAUGGUCAUCAGCCAAAUGAGUCAAGGGGGGGGGGGGCUUUAGUAGCUAAGCAACCAGGUGGCCAGGUGGAGUUGACCAAUCAGAGCAGAGCAAUCAACUGAAAUGAACUGCUGGCGGAGACAGUCCGCCACAGUGAGCAGGCAGAGGUGGACUAUAGCGUCAUAUUUGAGUCAAAAGUCGCGCGAGCGAUAACCAUAGACUGUAUAGGCGAUAACACAUCUGCACGCGCAUGUAUUUAGUGUCACGCGCGCAGAUUUCAACUGCCGCGCGCACUUGUUUGAUCUUAUUUAUACAGUCUAUGCUUCGCGCACAUAUUCAGCAACUGAGUGAAGCAGAUUCUCCCCCGUGCUCGCUCGCGGUGGAGCUCUGCUCGUGCCGAGCGAGAACUUUUUACACAUUGGGGGCGGGGCCAAGGCUGACCCCAGGCCUCUUAUGAUUGGUCAUUUUCCAGCCCAACACGUGGGUGCCUUUUCAGUUUACUGCUGACAGCUGGUAGCGGCGGCAUCAUCUAAAGCUUAGAUGAUGCCGCCGCAGGCUGUCUCUGACAGUCUUCUCAGACAGCCCACAACCAUUGGAAGACUUUCUGAUCAGAGAUUGGAGCGGUGGUCCGGAGAGAAGAGGAUGUCGGAGCGGGUCGGCAGCACCUGGUGUCGGUGUGUCCUGAGUCUAUCUGCUGUCAGGAGGCUGACCUGGACCAUACCAUGCGUGGUGAAGCAUGUGUAACAAAUGUUCGCACAUUUGGAGUACUGUACCGGGAAGAGGACGUGCUUUCCCUGAAGGAUGUCCGAGCUGAAGGAAGUCCGAGCGGAGACACCGGAGCGUCCUGUCAACAGCAGGUAACUAGGUCAAGCUAACUAACGUCAGUAAUCGCAGGUGGUUUAACGUAAAUAUAAUAAAUAAACGCUAUAGUGAGACAGGAAUAUGAUGGAGAAGACGCGAACAAUGUUUCCAUUUUCAGUAAUUAUCAGACGAAAACGUUUUAGUUUAUGUCGCUCCAUGCUAACGGUAAUAGCUAAUUACUAGCUAACAUUAGCGUUAGCUAACAAUGACAUCAAAUGGCCGGCUAGGUUGAAAGAACACGUUUUCUUUUGGACAAAGAGUGUGAUGCAAAACAUGUCUGAGAAGUCUGGGUGGCAUUCUGAGGGAUGUUGAACAUAAUGAUAUCAAUGUCACAUUCUUUUAGAAGCCAGGGUAUUAUUCUUCUGUGACUAUCAAAAGUAUCAAUAUGCAGUUACUUCUAACAUUUAUGGACAAUCAUGCACCUUACUAUAUUAGCAAUAACCACCUGACUUCACUUAUGUACAGUGUAUAACAUAUUAACAUCAUUGUGCACUGUAUACAGCACAUAGUGUAGCAUAGUUAUGGUUAUAUCCCUAUAUCCAAUUAUUUUUCAAAACAUUUGCCAUUUGCAUCAAGUACUGUAGAAUGUUGUAUUAAUGGUUUGUAUUCUGCUCUUCACUUUGUUUAGUUUUUUUACUAAGUGAUGUAAAAGUUGCUAGCAAUAGUUAUAGAAACUGAUUAUGAUAGAAUCUCAAAUACAAAAGCUGGACGAGGCUCAAAUACUGAAAAUUCGCCAUGUUGAUUGAUAUAAUAUACUUGGUAUACUGGCGCUACUAUUGGUUAAUUGUUGAGCUGUCAGAGUCAGAGCCAAUCAGAGGCAGAAUAGGGCGGAUCUUAAUGGAACACGGGGUUCAAGGGUCAAAGGAACCCAUGUGAUCUAAGGUCAGCCUCAAGUGUUUUUCGUUUUUUAGCUAGCGACUGUCAGUACUUCUGUUGAGUAAAAUAUUUUUCAAAAGUAAAUGAUUGUGCAUUAUUUUGGUUCGUGUUGGCGAAGCUUUUUAUUUUUAUUUUUAAAAUCUGCCACUACACAUGGAGACGCAUUUGAAGCAGUUAGGCCAAGUAAAGAGAUAGCGCAUGCUAAACUGCACGCAUCACAAGAAUAUAGCCUGCAAGAUGUGGUGAGGGAGGUCGCGGAAUUUAGGAUAACCUGACUGACUGACGUGGAGAACGUGGAGUCACGGCUAAAACCUGAGAAGCCAUCACCAUGUUGUUGUUUCACAUCAGAGUAAGUAUUUCACAUUAUGCAGAUUUUUCAGCAUGUGGUCCUCAAUAUAUAGUAUAGAAGUCACUAUAUUUUCAGACUUUUCCAGGUUUCUUGUGUCCAGCAUCUUCAAGACAGACUAAGCUAACCUUUCAUAUUUUUUGCACAUUUAUAUUUAGGUUAGGUUAGGAGUAGGUUAGGUUUAUAGUAGAGUAUUUAGUUUGUAUAGUUUAGCUUUUUAUGCUGAUCUAGGGAGAGUAAAGUUAGCAAAUUAAUUUAGUUCAGAUCACUUACAGUUGCAUAUUAUUGUUACAAUUGUGUUAUUUUGUGAGUUAUUGUUGUACAGGCUAUUGUAUAUUGCAGGACCAAGUGAGACCACUGCUUCCAAGAUGCCACUCAGAAAGUGCGUUGGACAAGUCUCGACCUUGCAGAUCCUGCUCCACUUAGCCCAAACACUUCCGACCAUGGGGUACCUCCAAGACCUCCGUCAACCAGCCGGCUGUGGAUGAUGGAUAACGCACCCACAACUCCUUCUCCAGCCUACAAGGUUCUGAAAAUACAGACAGCCCCACAGUCCAAGAACAGCUGGAUGACCUCUGGACCCACUUGCCCCCGUUCACCAGUUGAAAAGAUAGGCUUUUUAAAAAAUUCAUCAAUUGUUAAUUCUGCACAAAGUGAUGGACAAAACAUUGUAUGUCUUCCAUUUCAACAAACACAAACAUGAAAUGUAUAUUUAAAUACAUAACUUAAUGCAAAUCAAUUAUACUAAACAUCAUCUUCUUUUUUUUUUAAACCAACCAUUGCACGCACUUCCAUCCAAGGAGAGGUUACAUCUUGAUGUCGUAGCCGAGCCUCGAUGCAGCGCCGCGUCUCCAGGAAGGCCUGACGCUGAGCCCGGUCAGACAGGUAGCUGAUGAAUAUCCCAGCAGUGUUCAUACACAGGAACAACACAGCCUGAGCCGCUACCUGGAACACACAGGGACAGAGAGGCAGAGCAUGAGAUCACACACACACAUCGUUUUAAGGGGAGCGGGCAGACUUCCAGGCAAGCAAAGCAGUGAAAGUCAAAGAAACAACUCACAAGCAACUCACACUCCAAUCAAAGAUCCCUAAUAAUAACCUGGCUGUACUUGAAGUUCCAUGAAAUUAGUCUCUUUUCUUUCAGCUGAAAGCAGACAGAACAAACGGUAACACUUUACAAUAACCAACUAAGUGAUGUUUAUAGAUGGUUUAUAGACCAAUUAUUAGCCAUUUACAAAGUACUAUACAUAUUUAAUAUUUAGGUAUUGGUUUAAAAAAAUGUAAAGG